AUGAAGGCAGUGGGAGAGUUCGAUAUAUUCGAACGCCGAAGGGGCAAGGCUUAGAGCCGAAACUCUCAGGCACAAGGACCUCUGCUGGACG
rnacentral:ncRNA from 2 species